CCGCCCAGGAUUACUCGGGUGCAAUCCCAGGUGCGGCCAGGAGGGGGCGAGGGAGGGAACGAGAAUCUAGGAUGAAGAUAGGGACCCCCCCCACCAACCACCGACCCCCCUCUCCCUCCCCCGCCCCCCGAUUUACCUGCGGCCGUCCCGGACUCGGGAAGAGGGAUCAAGGCAGCGUUGGUGUCAGAAAGGUGGGGGCCCCGCCCCACCCCCCCCAUUCCCUGAAAAGGAGGAAAACCUCGACUGCAUCUCUGUGUUCGGCUCUGCCCGGCCCCUCCCUUCUCACCACCCGAGGACUGGACGGAAACUAAUGUGGCCUCUUAACUCUGACUCCUCUUAACGACCGGGACCGGUUCCCCCCACCCCCGCCCGCCUCCACACGGGGAGGGGGGGCUUCUCGUAUUUCCCACAUUAAAAAGCUGUCACAAGAUCACCAUCACUGUAAUUGUAAGAUCGCAGACCCUCUAAUCCGGGGGCUCUUAACCUGGGGUCCGCAGACCCUCCGGGGACGGGGGCAUAAAUUCAGGAGAUCUGGGAACUUGGGUGGGAGAGGGGGGAAUGACAUGUUUAUUUUCACUAGUGCCUAACUGAAGGAAAUCUUCAGUUAUGAUUCUAAAAGGAAAAAAAGAGCAUUCUGAGGACUUUGUAGGUUUGGCCCGACUGCCAGAAGAUGCUAGCCGCCGAGCUCUCGCUCUAGUCCAGACAUUUUACAGAGGAGACUGAAAUUCAGCCAGGAGAGAGAAUAAUCCAGAACUGGUGUGUCCAAGCUGUGCCUGCAAGGAGAGCGUCGGGGGUGCCAGGAGGAAGAGAGACUCAAGGAAAGAAAGGCUCUCGAAUACAGAAAGAGCUCAAGUCCUUGGGGACGCGGCUUUGAGUAGAGCCUGCCUGUGUUCAGCAUCCAAGGAGUUCAUUUACCCCAACUGGUGAGUCCUUUGUGGACACAAGCUCUGUAUGUGCACCUUCUUUUUCUCAUUAGGCUUGGGAAGAUUUAAGGCCAGAUCAGACAGGGACUCGUGGUGAGUGGGAAUUAUACCUCACCGAUCUUCGGUGUAUUUAUUGCCCAUGCCUAGGACAGGACUUUGCACCCAACAGACUAUCAAACCAUUUCUUAUUUCAUCUCUCACUUGGCCUGUGUCCAAGCUCUUCAUUCUUCUCAACUUGUGAGGCCCAGGGCCAGACCCCAAGGAACAGUGUCCCAACUACACAGAAUUUAAUGGGGACUAUAUGACUCCAAGACCUUUUAACUUUAUACUUGCCUCUUCGUUUUGCCUCAUAGAGUCCACUCUGACCCUGGGAUCUUUGUCCACCUACUUUCUUGCCUGGAUCACAGAAGUGUAAUGAUAUUUACACUAACUUUUCAGUGAUUUAUACACUGGUUUCUAUCUGUGUUCUCUACAAUCCCAACAUCCGUGGCCUCGCCAAGCACAGGUCUGAGCACAGGAGAUUGGUGUCAGUAAGGUUUCCCAGAUGUAGGGCAGCUUCCCCUCUGAUCUGAUGAGAAAGCUGAGGUCAGAGGGAAGGGAUUGGUUCUGGCUGGCCUAACAUUUAGGAUAACCAUUAUGACGGGAGAGGCUAGAUUGAAACAGCAGCAUGUGGAAUUCAGAUUACUAAGGAAGAGUGUCUACAGGGAGAAGAGGACUCAGUCAACCAGUUAAUAAAUAUCUAUUAGAUGACUACUAUGUGCCAGACUGUUGUCAUAUUACUACCUACUGGCCUUCGGAUCUUGGUCAAAUCACUUUAACUGCUUCAUCUCAAUCUCUUCAUCUGUAAAAUGAGGAAUUGAACUAAACUAAAGGUUUUUUAACCUUGGGGUUU